rnacentral:rRNA from 1 species
GACGAACGCUGGCGGCGUGCUUAACACAUGCAAGUCGAACGGAAAGGCCCUGCUUUUGUGUGGUGCCCGAGUGGCAAACGGGUGAGUAACACGUGAAUAACCUGGCCUGGGCGGUGGGAUAACUGCAGGAAACUGGGGCUAAUACCUGCUAGGAGCGGCUGCUGCAUGGUGGGGGUUGGAAAUUUUGGGCGGAUGGGGAUGGACUGGGGGCUUAUUAGCUUGUGGGGGGGGUAGUGGCCUACCAAGGCUUUGGCGGCUGGUCGGCAUGGGAGGGUGAUCGGCCACAUUGGGACUGAGAUACGGCCCAGAGUGCUACGGGAGGCAGCAGUGGGGAAUAUUGCACAAUGGGCGGAAGCCUGAUGAAGAAACGCCGCGUUCGGGAUGCAGGCCUUCGUGUUGUAAACCGCUUUCGCCUGUGACGAUGCGUUUUUGACGUUAAUGGGUAAAGAAGCACCGGCUAACUACGUG